AGCGAACGCUGGCGGCGUGCCUAACACAUGCAAGUCGAACGGUUCUGUUGGGGGCUUGCUCUCGACAGAGUAGUGGCAAACGGGUGAGUAACACGUGGGUAAUCUUCCUUCGAGUGAGGAAUAACUUCGGGAAACCGGAGCUAAUACCGCAUAACAUCUUGGAACGGCAGUUCUAAGAUCAAAGGGGGCGCAAGCUCCCGCUUGAAGUUGAGCUCGCGUCCUAUCAGCUAGUUGGUGAGGUAAUGGCUCACCAAGGCUCCGACGGGUAGCCGGCCUGAGAGGGUGGCCGGCCACACUGGGACUGAGACACGGCCCAGACUCCUACGGGAGGCAGCAGUGGGGAAUAUUGCGCAAUGGACGAAAGUCUGACGCAGCGACGCCGCGUGGGUGAUGAAGGCCUUCGGGUCGUAAAGCCCUGUUGAGGGAGAGAAAGCUACUGUCGGUUAAUACCCGGCAGUGGUGAUAGUAUCCCUAGAGAAAGCACCGGCUAACUACGUGCC
rnacentral:rRNA from 1 species